CGUCUAUAUACGUAUAGCAUAUCAAUAAGCGGAGGAAAAGAAACUAACUAGGAUUCCCUCAGUAACGGCGAGUGAAGCGGGAAGAGCUCAAAUUUGAAAUCUUCAAGGUUCUACCUUGACGAAUUGUAGUUUAAAGAAGUGUUUUCUGUUGGAGUUUUGGUAAAAGUUCUUUGGAAGUAGGACAUCAUAGAGGGUGAGAAUCCCGUAUUUGACCAUUAUUUCCAACUUUGUGAUACACUUUCAAAGAGUCGGAUUGUUUGGGAAUGCAGUCCAAAAUGGGUGGUAAAUUUCAUCUAAAGCUAAAUAUUGGCGAGAGACCGAUAGCGAACAAGUACCGUGAGGGAAAGAUGAAAAGAACUUUGAAAAGAGAGUUAAACAGUACGUGAAAUUGUCAAAAGGGAAGCGUUUGACACCAGUGUUGUUUUCUCGAAAAUCAAUUAAAAAAGAUUGGAUUUUGUGUUGUAUUGACUUUAUCAGCUUUCUGCACUUUUUUCCUGUCUUUUUUAAUGCACUUUUCGUUUAACAAGUCAACAUCAAUUUCUUUUGUUGUAAAAGGGUCAUUGGAAGGUGGCUUUCUUUUCGGAGAAAGUGUUUAUAGCCUUUGACUUCUGCAAUCGGAGAGGUUGAGGUCUGCAGCGUAGAUCCUUCGGGGUUAGAUACAUUUGUGCUAAGUUAUAGCCUUUCAUAGACAACAUUGUUGACUAUGAUCAUCAUGUAGCUUACUCGCUUAUGUCUAUUUUACCUACGCUUAGGAUGUUGACGAUCAGCUGAGCGCG
rnacentral:rRNA from 1 species